AAAUUGAAGAGUUUGAUCAUGGCUCAGAUUGAACGCUGGCGGCAGGCCUAACACAUGCAAGUCGAACGGUAACAGGAAACAGCUUGCUGUUUCGCUGACGAGUGGCGGACGGGUGAGUAAUGUCUGGGAAACUGCCUGAUGGAGGGGGAUAACUACUGGAAACGGUAGCUAAUACCGCAUAACGUCGCAAGACCAAAGAGGGGGACCUUCGGGCCUCUUGCCAUCGGAUGUGCCCAGAUGGGAUUAGCUAGUAGGUGGGGUAACGGCUCACCUAGGCGACGAUCCCUAGCUGGUCUGAGAGGAUGACCAGCCACACUGGAACUGAGACACGGUCCAG
rnacentral:rRNA from 3 species